GACGAACGCUGGCGGCGUGCCUAACACAUGCAAGUCGAGCGAGUGAAUCUCCUUCGGGAGUGAAGCUAGCGGCGGACGGGUGAGUAACACGUGGGCAACCUGCCUCAUAGAGGGGAAUAGCCUUCCGAAAGGAAGAUUAAUACCGCAUAAGAUUGCAGCUUCGCAUGAAGUAGCAAUUAAAGGAGCAAUCCGCUAUGAGAUGGGCCCGCGGCGCAUUAGCUAGUUGGUGAGGUAACGGCUCACCAAGGCGACGAUGCGUAGCCGACCUGAGAGGGUGAUCGGCCACAUUGGGACUGAGACACGGCCCAGACUCCUACGGGAGGCAGCAGUGGGGAAUAUUGCACAAUGGGGGAAACCCUGAUGCAGCAACGCCGCGUGGGUGAUGACGGCCUUCGGGUUGUAAAGCUCUGUCUUCAGGGACGAUAAUGACGGUACCUGAGGAGGAAGCCACGGCUAACUACGUGCCAGCCGCCGCUGUAACAC
rnacentral:rRNA from 1 species